GUGGGGAAUAUUGGACAAUGGGCGAAAGCCUGAUCCAGCCAUGCCGCGUGUGUGAAGAAGGUCUUCGGAUUGUAAAGCACUUUAAGUUGGGAGGAAGGGCAGUAAGUUAAUACCUUGCUGUUUUGACGUUACCGACAGAAUAAGCACCGGCUAACUUCGUGCCAGCAGCCGCGGUAAUACGAAGGGUGCAAGCGUUAAUCGGAAUUACUGGGCGUAAAGCGCGCGUAGGUGGUUCAGCAAGUUGGAGGUGAAAUCCCCGGGCUCAACCUGGGAACUGCCUCCAAAACUGCAUGACUAGAGUACGGUAGAGGGUAGUGGAAUUUCCUGUGUAGCGGUGAAAUGCGUAGAUAUAGGAAGGAACACCAGUGGCGAAGGCGACUACCUGGACUGAUACUGACACUGAGGUGCGAAAGCGUGGGGAGCAAACAGGAUUAGAAACCCUUGUAGUCC
rnacentral:rRNA from 1 species